AACAGUUUGAUUUAGAUAGAAUUUUGAAUUGAUUUUUUAAAAUUGAUCCAAAUCGAAGUGAAUCACGUAUAUAUUUUUAUAUUUAUUUAUUUUUUAUUUAUAUUUUUAUUAUUCAAUAACACUUAUUUUUUUAAUAUUAUUUAUUAAUUUAAUUUAAUCUAUUUAUUUUUAUUAUUUCGUUUGUUUCAAUUAUAUUUGUUUAUUUUUUAUUUUUUAAUAUACAAUAUGUUAUAUAUUAUAUCAAAUCUAUUAUUUAUU
rnacentral:lncRNA from 1 species